rnacentral:rRNA from 1 species
UUCUGUAAUAAGAUAGAAAGUAAUUCCUGCCCAGUGAUAUACAUUUCAACGGCCGCGGUAUCCUAACCGUGCAAAGGUAGCAUAAUCACUUGCCCAUUAAUUGUGGGCUAGAAUGAAAGGACCAACGAAAUAAAGACUGUCUCUAUAAGCCACAUAAAAAUUAAUCUCUAACUGAAGAUUGUUAGAUUCCGUCGAAGGACAAGAAGACCCUAUAGAGCUUCAUUUUAAUAAAAAUAAAUUUUUUAAUAAGAUUCGGUUGGGGCGACCGGGGAACAUUAAUCAUCCCCUAAUAAAAGAUAAAUAUAUCCCGUCUCUGACCAUUAAUAAAGAUCACCAGAACAAGCUACCUUAGGGAUAACAGGCUAAUCUCACUAAAGAGUCCUUAUCAAUAGUGGGGGUUGGCACCUCGAUGUUGGCUUAGGGAAUCUAUAUGGCGCAAAAGUCAUAUAAAGAUGGUUUGUUCAACCAAUAAUACCCUACAUGAGCUGAGUUCAGACCGGCGUAAGCCAGGUUAGUUUCUAUCCUCGAUAAAAAUAUCUAUUUAUAGUACGAAAGGACCUAAAUACGAAUAAUAAUUAUAUUUCAAGAAUAAAUAUAAUGCAAUUUUAUUUAAACAACACAUAAAAUAUG